rfam:Trachymyrmex septentrionalis contig11037, whole genome shotgun sequence.
UAAACGGUUCUUUUCAGGACCACAAAUUAUUUAACGGAGGAAUACU